AACAGAAUACUAAUUCACGAAGCAAAUUCUAAUAGAUCAAUAAUCUCUCAAAUUAACAAGGCCUCCACUAGUCAGAUCCAACAUAACAAGUACUAUAUUAUACCAGUACCAAACUGAACAAAUAACAAGAUGCUUACACUAGUCAAAUCUGAACAUUACACACCAUACACAUCUCAAUUCUGAAUUUUACAAAGUCUGAACCUUAUAGAAAGUUAAGUAUUCAGAACAGUACACAAGUUCACCUAGCAGUUUACAGAAUUUUGCAAGAAGUAAAGAGAGAAGAGAAGCAGCAGCAGUUUGGGUUCAAAGUAGAAGGAAGAUGCAACAGCAGGGACGUGGUGAGAGGUCUUCAGAAGAAGUGCAGCAGCGGCGCUAGGAGAGAUGGGACAUCAGCAAGGUACAGAGAGAAAGAGAAGAACAGCAGCGAGGUAAGGGAAGAAGGAGCAGCAGCAGGGUCGCAAGAAGAGCAGCAACAUGAGGCGUUGAGAGAGGGAGCAGCAACAAAAGGCGUUGAGGUUCAGAAAAGAAGGGAAGCAGAGGAAGUGGAGUAAUGGCGCUAGGAGUGAGGGGUGCUGGUGAUGUGAUGGCAUGGUGGAUGGAUAGAUGGAUGGAUUCGGGGAGGAGAAGGAGAUGGUGUUGGUGGUGCGUGGUGGAGAUGGAAUGGAUGGGUCGCUGGGUGGCGCACCGCUACGCCGGCCUGGCCGCAGCGGCGGCCGGAGGUGGAGAAGUAAGGGUGAGGGAGAGAGGUGAGAUGCCAGGCCCGAUUUGGGAAUCAGGGCGUCUGGGGAUUUUGACCUCCCGUGAUCUGCCAUUUUUUCACUUUGGCCCUCCUGCUUCCUUUCUUCUCAAGAUGAUCCUCCAACAUUAGCUUGCCCCUGGAUACUUCUUUUCUUCUCGCUCGGGUCCCUCGUUCUCUCGUUCCAGCCCCAAGUCUCAUCGCGUUUGGCAAUCGACUGAAUCUUGAAGUUUAUAGUGCCUUCUCGCACUUUUCUGCAAAAGAAACAAUUCACUAGUCAACAUGCUCUUAUAUGAUUAUCAUUCAAAUAUUCAGUAUUUCAUAGCAAAAAUUAAUGUCAGAUCUCAACAAAUGGUAUAUUUGUAUGCCAAAAUUAUAUAUAUGAAAUGUGCUUAUCAAGUUCCCCCACUAUUAAAUCUUUACUUGUCCUCAAGUAAAGGCAUAUGACAAGAGCUAGACAGUGAACAGUGAGCUGACUAGAGAAUGCCAAGUGAAGUAGAUCUCUAAACAAUGCAUGCUUUGGACUUAACUAGUGCAAAUCAAUGGCAAGAGUGCUACAAAGCAAUAGGAUACUAGUAGACUCAAUCAUAUUAAACUUUUACAAUGAUAAAAGUGGAUCAACAAGUUCAAAUGAUGAUUGUGCCAAAGGUUCCUAAAGAGAGCAUGAUCCCGAGCACAAAAAAGAACAUAAACUUGUGAUCAAAUCACUUAUUUACAGAAGUAAAGCAAUGAUAAUAUUUUAUCGAUCUCACCAAAGGAACAUACCACCGAUCCCGAGAACAUGGUAUACACCUGGAUCGACCAAUUAUUAGUUUAGUUUUUUUGUUUGUCUCCCCAAAGGAACAUACCACCGAUCCCAAGAACAUGGUAUACACCUGGUUCGACAAUUAUAUUUUUUUAUUAUUAAUUACUGCCCAAGCUAACCCGAUUUCACAUGCCACCGAUCCCAGGAACAUGACAUACUACUGUAGGUAGUCAGACUUAUUUAUUCAUUAUUACUUAUCUUAAAUGAACAAUGCAUAAGCACAAAAAUAGGAAUCAUCACUUCUCCAUGUCUGGUUCACAUGCUACCGAUCCAGGGAACAUAGCAUACUAAUCCAUAGUGGUUAGGUGAUUGCUCUCAAUGGGAACACAUUAGGCACAAACUCAGCAUCUGACUCUUAAUGAUCUAGGUGUAUCGAGGUAAAAGCAGAAAAUGAUUAAGUUUUCUAGUGUACUAGGGAUUUGAGCACUCAAAACUAAUAACUUUCACUAGUUUCAGCAAAACAAGCAGUAUGUAGAUCACUAGUUUACAAGGCAUUCACGAUUCAGUUCACAUAUUCACAUCAAGCAUCAUAUGUCAAAGGUAAAAUUCAGUGGGACGACAUUUAAGAAAUGGCUUAAGCAACCCAAAUAACAUUUGAUUUCAGCAUGUAUCAAUGGAUGAUAUACUCGGAAUGGGUCAUGAAACAGCUCACCGGGCUUUGAUGAUGUAGCACUCGCUCGAUCACCUCACCAACUGCAGCUCCUCUCCUUUUGCUUCUCUAUCCUCAUGCCUGCUCCAGCUUCUCCCUUCCUCGUGUGUGCCCCCUUGCUUCUCCUCAUCCCCAUGCUCUAAGUCCACCAGGAUCCCAGGGAAUGUCAUCUCGAACUCGGUCAACUCGCAGUAAAUGGUACACAAGCAUCAACCUGAAAGAACACUCAACAACCAAGCCAAUACAAGUGACAGAGAGAAUGCCCUCUAAGUCAUCGAUAGAGUACCCUAUCAUAUAAGUAUAUCUAUUGAGAAAGUCAGGAACAUGUAUCAACAACAAGUCACAUGGUGCAUAGGCAGUAUCCAUGAUAUGGCAUAUCUUGUUGAGAAAGCUGAGAUCAUACCUGAGAUAGUUAGGAAGAAGCUUCAGGACUACCUCCAUUGAAGAUACCAAGUGAGGUGUGGUAGUAGAAAUUUCCACCGGAUUCGUGUCAACAAGUGAAAUAGAGCUUGACUCCUUGACAUCUGAAUCCACCUCACCAUAAUCAACCAUGAAGCUCUCCAUCUCAGGCUCAAGUGUUGAAGAAUCAAUGCAGCUAACAUCAUCAAAGGCGAACUUCUCCAUAUCUGGCUCUAGCAGCACAUGAUCAAUAUCAACUAAAGGUGACUCCUCAAUAUCAAAAGCAACGAACUGCAGCUCUGGCUCAUCCAUGUUAUAAUCAUCACAAUGCAAAACUGAAUCUCCAACACUAGUAUCCAGAUGAUCUGUAGCGUGUGUGUCAACUAGAAUAGUGUCAUCAUCGUCAAAUAUAAUCCAUGCAAGCUCAGCCUUGUCACACUGAGAUAGAGGCUCAUGCUUUUGUGUAAGAAUUGGUGGUUGAGGUGUAGUGAUUUGUUGCAAGCAAACCAAUGAAUCAGAUGUGGGCUUCUUAUUGUACCACUGAAGUUGGUGGAAAGCUAUGCUCUCAAUCAGCAGAAAAGCUUCAUCAAGUGUCUUGUUUGUAAUAGCUCCACCCGCUGCCAUAUCGACAUAAGCUCGAGUGUUCGGAGUCAAUCCUCUAUAGAAUAUCUGCAACUCUAACCAUCUCUUGAGCCCAUGAUUAGGACAUCUCCUGAAUAAGGCUUUGUAUCUCUCCCAAGCAUCAUUCAAGCUCUAGCCUUCACGCUGAACGAAAUUGAAGAUCUCAUCUCGAAUUGCGGACUGCUUGUGUAGUGGGAAAUAUUUAUCCAAGAAAGCUCGUGAUAUCUCAUUCCAACCGAAUGAUCUUGAUGGCAAGGAUCGAUACCAAGCACGAGCACCAUCUCGGAGAGAGAAUGUGAACAACAUGCACUUGAUAGCUUCUUGAGGAACUCCAUGGUACUUUACUAUAUCUGAAUACUCCAUGACUCGGAGCAAGUGCUCAUAAGGAUCUUCAUUAGGCAACCCUUCAAACUGAUGUUGUUGAACCAAAGCAAUAAGACCAGGCUUUAGCUCAAAAUUUUCCGCCUCAAAAGACGGCCAAAGUGGCCCUGUGAAAUAGCAUUGGCUGCUUGGCAUCCAAACAUCACGAAGCAUCGCCAUAUCUCCACCAAGUGUAACUAUCAAUCAACCUGUAAAUAGUUCAGAUUUCCUACGCACACUCAUAAACAGUAAAUACUAGUCAGAAUGUUAGUAUCCUAAUAAGCCGAAGCAACAGCAAGGAAAAAAUAUAUAAAAGAAACGCAGAAAAUGAAAUAUACGACGAAUUAAACACGGAACUAAAAUAAACCUAGUCUAUAGCCUAACACGGUCACUUGACACUAGUCCCCGGCAACGGCGCCAAAAUGAUCGUUUGUAAUAUAGCGGGGUUUUUAUGCCCAAACUACGAGUGUCGUGUUCUCCACAGGGACUAGGCGACGGCGACUAUGCUCGGCUAAAUCUAGGUUACACAAUUUUAAGAGAUGAAUGCAGAAAAUAAAACCUAAACUAACAAGGUCGUUCCCAAAGAUCGUCGACAAAGAAAAUGCAAAAUAAAGUACAGAAAGGUUCAGAUUAUCUUCAACAAUCUUUUUGGUAUUUUCAUAAUGCUUGAGAAAUUAAAAUACUAACACGGACAUUAUCGACAAAAGGGAAGUGAACACAAAUGACUAUCUAACAUGUAAGAGAUGGGAGAAACAAGAUUAUAAGACUCAAUAUAGAUGGUUUACACCACAAACACACAUGUAUUUAUAUAGCACAUGUACUAGAGCUAACACAUGGAUAAUGGAAUAAAUUUCAGUAAGGAACAAACACACAAGGGGUGAACACAUUCAUAUGCUAACAGAAUACUAAUUCACAGAAGCAAAUUCUAAUAGAUCAAUAAUCUCUCAAAUUAACAAGGCCUCCACUAGUCAGAUCCAACAUAACAAGUACUAUAUUAUACCAGUACCAAACUGAACAAAUAACAAGAUGCUUACACUAGUCAAAUCUGAACAUUACACACCAUACACAUCUCAAUUCUAAAUUUUACAAAGUCUGAACCUUACAGAAAGUUAAGUAUUCAGAACAGUACACAAGUUCACCUAGCAGUUUACAGAAUUUUGCAAGAAGUAAAGAGAGAAGAGAAGCAGCAGCGGUUUGGGUUCAGAGAAGAAGGAAGAUGCAGCAGUAGGGACGUGGUGAGAGGUCUUCAGAAGAAGUGCAGCAGCGGCGCUAGGAGAGAUGGGACAUCAGCAAGGUACAGAGAGAAAGAGAAGAACAG
rnacentral:lncRNA from 1 species